rnacentral:rRNA from 1 species
AGAGUUUGAUCCUGGCUCAGAACGAACGCUGGCGGCGUGGAUAAGACAUGCAAGUCGAACGAGAGAAUUGCUAGCUUGCUAAUAAUUCUCUAGUGGCGCACGGGUGAGUAACACGUGAGUAACCUGCCCCCGAGAGCGGGAUAGCCCUGGGAAACUGGGAUUAAUACCGCAUAGUAUCGAAAGAUUAAAGCAGCAAUGCGCUUGGGGAUGGGCUCGCGGCCUAUUAGUUAGUUGGUGAGGUAACGGCUCACCAAGGCGAUGACGGGUAGCCAGUCUGAGAGGAUGUCCGGCCACACUGGAACUGAGACACGGUCCAGACACCUACGGGUGGCAGCAGUCGAGAAUCAUUCACAAUGGGGGAAACCCUGAUGGUGCGACGCCGCGUGGGGGAAUGAAGGUCUUCGGAUUGUAAACCCCUGUCAUGUGGGAGCAAAUUAAAAAGAUAGUACCACAAGAGGAAGAGACGGCUAACUCUGUGCCAGCAGCCGCGGUAAUACAGAGGUCUCAAGCGUUGUUCGGAAUCACUGGGCGUAAAGCGUGCGUAGGCUGUUUCGUAAGUCGUGUGUGAAAGGCGCGGGCUCAACCCGCGGACGGCACAUGAUACUGCGAGACUAGAGUAAUGGAGGGGGAACCGGAAUUCUCGGUGUAGCAGUGAAAUGCGUAGAUAUCGAGAGGAACACUCGUGGCGAAGGCGGGUUCCUGGACAUUAACUGACGCUGAGGCACGAAGGCCAGGGGAGCGAAAGGGAUUAGAUACCCCUGUAGUCCUGGCAGUAAACGGUGCACGCUUGGUGUGCGGGGAAUCGACCCCCUGCGUGCCGGAGCUAACGCGUUAAGCGUGCCGCCUGGGGAGUACGGUCGCAAGAUUAAAACUCAAAGGAAUUGACGGGGACCCGCACAAGCGGUGGAGUAUGUGGCUUAAUUCGAUGCAACGCGAAGAACCUUACCUGGGCUUGACAUGUAAUGAACAACAUGUGAAAGCAUGCGACUCUUCGGAGGCGUUACACAGGUGCUGCAUGGCCGUCGCCAGCUCGUGUCGUGAGAUGUUUGGUUAAGUCCAGCAACGAGCGCAACCCCUGUUGCCAGUUACCAGCACGUGAAGGUGGGGACUCUGGCGAGACUGCCCAGAUCAACUGGGAGGAAGGUGGGGACGACGUCAGGUCAGUAUGGCCCUUAUGCCCAGGGCUGCACACGUACUACAAUGCCCAGUACAGAGGGGGCCGAAGCCGCGAGGCGGAGGAAAUCCUAAAAACUGGGCCCAGUUCGGACUGUAGGCUGCAACCCGCCUACACGAAGCCGGAAUCGCUAGUAAUGGCGCAUCAGCUACGGCGCCGUGAAUACGUUCCCGGGUCUUGCACUCACC